CCACUCCUCACAAGUAACAAACAAGCGCGUCUCUGUGGAACAUGUAGGAUUUUCUGCCAGUGCCACCCUGCUAAACUGGUUAACGCCAGGAGAAAGCGAAACUUAGGAGGGCCCAAAUCGGUCAGGAAAAUUUGGUUAAUGUGCAGGGUUCAGUGAAGCACUGGCACACACCCAACAGGUUGCUCGAGGAUCCCCAGUUAAUUUCCAGUAAAUUUCCAGAAUGCUUCUUAAGUUCUUUAAACGAACCUUGGUGCCUAAUAAAGAAGACACUGAAAGCCACCCAGCGCACAGACAAAGGCAAUGUGACUGCUUCAAAUGGGCUCCACGAACUCCUUGGGCACACCACAAGGCCUGACAGGAACUUAACCUCGGAAAACACGGCGCAGAAGAAAAUUAUGUUAUUCAGUGAACAUUUUCAAAUCUACACAAGUAUAUCAUUUGUGCACCAUCCUGGCAGAAGUUGGAUCUGGAGGUGCAGAAAAUAUGCCACAGAAUUAUACAGCAUGUUGGAAAAUUCACUUGUACCGUUAAAUGCCAACUAGUAACACCAAGCAGCAAACAGGAAAGAUACCACCUGCAUCAUCAGGAGAUGCACAUUUGCAUUUUUGAGUUCUAUUCCCUAUUCUUCAGGCAUAUGAACUAACAUUCAAGAUACAUUUUGGAAUAAAGAUGGAAGAAUUUGAUUGUAGUGGCUCCAAAAAGCAAAAGCAUGGAGACAUCUGUUUUUCAGCCACCAAGCUCUGACCA